rnacentral:rRNA from 1 species
UACGUAGGGUGCGAGCGUUAAUCGGAAUUACUGGGCGUAAAGCGUGCGCAGGCGGUGAUGUAAGACCGAUGUGAAAUCCCCGGGCUUAACCUGGGAACUGCAUUGGUGACUGCAUCGCUCGAGUAUGGCAGAGGGGGGGUAGAAUUCCACGUGUAGCAGUGAAAUGCGUAGAGAUGUGGAGGAAUACCGAUGGCGAAGGCAGCCCCCUGGGUCAAUACUGACGCUCAUGCACGAAAGCGUGGGGGAGCAAAACAGG